rnacentral:rRNA from 1 species
UCAGGUAGGGAUACCCCAAUUUAAGCAUAUCAAUAAGGGGAGGA